GCCGGUUUAGCUUAGUGGUAGAGCGUUGCACUUGUAUAAUCAAGACAGUGUGUUAUGAUGCAAUGCAAAGGUCGGUUGUUCAAUCCAGCCAACCGGCA